AGAGUUUGAUCCUGGCUCAGAACGAACGCUGGCGGCGUGGAUAAGACAUGCAAGUCGAGCGCUCAUCCGGUUGCAGCAAUGUAAACGGGUGGGAGCGGCGCAAGGGUGCGUAACGCGUGGGUAAUUUGCCAUGAAGUUGGGAAUAACUCGCUGAAAGGCGAGCUAAUGCCGAAUGUGGUUGCCUGGUGGAAUCACCGGGUUACUAAAGUUGGGGACCGAAAGGCCUGACGCUUCAUGAUAAGCCCGCGCCCUAUCAGCUAGUUGGUGAGGUAACGGCCCACCAAGGCUAAGACGGGUAGCUGGUCUGAGAGGACGACCAGCCACACUGGAACUGAGACACGGUCCAGACACCUACGGGAGGCAGCAGUGGGGAAUCUUGCGCAAUGGGCGAAAGCCUGACGCAGCAACGCCGCGUGGAGGAUGAAGGCCCUUGGGUUGUAAACUCCUGUCGGCUGGGAAGAAAUCGUGCGGUGCUCAUACCACCGUGCGUUGACUGUACCAGCAAAGGAAGCCCCGGCUAACUCUGUGCCAGCAGCCGCGGUAAUACAGAGGUCUCAAGCGUUGUUCGGAUUCAUUGGGCGUAAAGGGUGCGUAGGUGGCGUCGUAAGUCGGGUGUGAAAUUUCGGAGCUUAACUCCGAAACUGCAUUCGAUACUGCGGUGCUUGAGGACUGGAGAGGAGACUGGAAUUUACGGUGUAGC
rnacentral:rRNA from 1 species